GUGGUGGUGUGGCUCACACUGACAUUCCAGCACUUGAUUGGUAUAGGAGUGUCACAAGUUCAAAGCCAGCCUGAGUUACACAGUGAGUUUUGAGCCAUCCCAGAAUACAAAGUGAGAUCCCGUCUCAAAAGCAAAAAAAGUUUUAUCACAUUUAAGAGGUAGCAAAAACAUCAAACCGUUUAAUUGUACAUAA